CGUCCGCGACAGGACUCAAACCUGCAAUCUUCUGAUUCUGAAGUCAGACGCCUUAUCCAUUAGGCCAUAGGAC
rnacentral:tRNA from 13 species